rnacentral:rRNA from 1 species
CCUACGGGUGGCAGCAGUAGGGAAUCUUUCACAAUGGGCGAAAGCCUGAUGGAGCAACGCCGCGUGCAGGAUGAAGGCCUUCGGGUUGUAAACUGCUUUUAUAAGCGAGAAAUAUGAUGGUAACUUAUGAAUAAGGAUCGGCUAACUACGUGCCAGCAGCCGCGGUCAUACGUAGGAUCCGAGCAUUAUCCGGAGUGACUGGGUGUAAAGAGUUGCGUAGGUGGCAUAAUAAGUAGCUAGUGAAAUCUGGUGGCUCAACCAUUCAGACUAUUAGCUAAACUGUUAAGCUCGAGACCGUUAGCGGUAAGUGGAAUGUCUAGUGUAGCGGUGAAAUGCGUAGAUAUUAGAAGGAACACCAAUAGCGAAGGCAGGUUACUGGGACGGAUCUGACACUAAGGCACGAAAGCGUAGGGAGCAAACAGGAUUAGAUACCCUAGUAGUC